rnacentral:rRNA from 1 species
UAACAAGGAUUCCCCUAGUAACGGCGAGCGAAGCGGGAAGAGCUCAAAUUUGAAAGCUGGCGUCUUCGGCGUCCGCGUUGUAAUCUCGAGACGUGUUUUCCGUGCGGCUCUAUGGACAAGUCCCUUGGAACAGGGCAUCGUAGAGGGUGAAAAUCCCGUACUUGCCAUGGAAGUACCGUGCUUUGUGAUACACGUUCCAAGAGUCGAGUAGUUUGGGAUUGCUGCUCAAAGUGGGUGGUAGACUCCAUCUAAAGCUAAAUAUCGGGGAGAGACCGAUAGCGAACAAGUACCGUGAGGGAAAGAUGAAAAGCACUUUGGAAAGAGAGUUAAAAGUACGUGAAAUUGUCGAAAGGGAAGCACUUGAAGUCAGCCAUGCUGCUUGAGACUCAGCCUGGCUUUUGCUUGGUGUAUUUCUCGGUAGCAAGCCAGCAUUGGUUUGUGUCGUCGGAGAAGCGUAUGGGGAAUGUGGCAUCCUCGGAUGUGUUAUAGCCCUGUGCUGGAUACGACUACGCAGACCAAGGAACGCAGUGUGCCCUCUGGGCGGGUCUUCGGACACCUUCACACUUAGGAUGCUGGCGUAAU